CCAGGAAACAUUCCGAGACUCUUUUGUUUAAAUGCCUCACUUAUUUGGUCCCACAGCACAAAGAUCAAAUGCAGAAGGAACUGCACGUGGAAAGGCCAGCCACAUACAUCACAAAAAGAGGACUGAAGUCAGCACACAGCUUGAAAGCCGGACUACAGGCCUUUCUUCAAGAAUGGCUGGAGUGACCCUGGGGACUUGGUGCAAGAAGCAAGAGGAUUGGGCAAAGGUCAAGAGGCCAUUUGUCAAACAGCACAAGACAUGUAACAGGAUAUGCACAGUGAGACAUGGCGGGGGAGAGCCCCCACGGAGCCCAGGGGAUGUAUGACAUCAUAGUCACAGUCCUACAUCUUCCUCUGUUUCCCCAGCUACCCUGGCUAUCUCUGCAGACAGGAAGAGAGCUGCCAAGUAGGGCUGGAAAGAGACACUCGGCAGGUAGAUCUUGCCGUAACAAGGAGAAGAAACUCAUGGAUUUCACCUAAGACCAGAGAAGGGAACAUUCCCAAG
rnacentral:lncRNA from 10 species